rnacentral:rRNA from 1 species
GAUGAACGCUGGCGGCGUGCCUAAUACAUGCAAGUCGAGCGAACGGACGAGAAGCUUGCUUCUCUGAUGUUAGCGGCGGACGGGUGAGUAACACGUGGAUAACCUACCUAUAAGACUGGGAUAACUUCGGGAAACCGGAGCUAAUACCGGAUAAUAUUUUGAACCGCAUGGUUCAAAAGUGAAAGACGGUCUUGCUGUCACUUAUAGAUGGAUCCGCGCUGCAUUAGCUAGUUGGUAAGGUAACGGCUUACCAAGGCAACGAUGCAUAGCCGACCUGAGAGGGUGAUCGGCCACACUGGAACUGAGACACGGUCCAGACUCCUACGGGAGGCAGCAGUAGGGAAUCUUCCGCAAUGGGCGAAAGCCUGACGGAGCAACGCCGCGUGAGUGAUGAAGGUCUUCGGAUCGUAAAACUCUGUUAUUAGGGAAGAACAUAUGUGUAAGUAACUGUGCACAUCUUGACGGUACCUAAUCAGAAAGCCACGGCUAACUACGUGCCAGCAGCCGCGGUAAUACGUAGGUGGGCAGCGUUAUCCCGAAAUAUUGGGCGUAAAGCGCGCGGUAGGCGGUUUUUUAAGUCUGAUGUGAAAGCCCACGGCUCACCCGUGGGAGGGUCAUUGGAAACUGGAAAACUUGAGUGCAGAAGAGGAAAGUGGAAUUCCAUGUGUAGCGGUGAAAUGCGCAGAGAUAUGGAGGAACACCAGUGGCGAAGGCGACUUUCUGGUCUGUAACUGACGCUGAUGUGCGAAAGCGUGGGGAUCAAACAGGAUUAGAUACCCUGGUAGUCCACGCCGUAAACGAUGAGUGCUAAGUGUUAGGGGGUUUCCGCCCCUUAGUGCUGCAGCUAACGCAUUAAGCACUCCGCCUGGGGAGUACGACCGCAAGGUUGAAACUCAAAGGAAUUGACGGGGACCCGCACAAGCGGUGGAGCAUGUGGUUUAAUUCGAAGCAACGCGAAGAACCUUACCAAAUCUUGACAUCCUUUGACAACUCUAGAGAUAGAGCCUUCCCCUUCGGGGGGGCAAAGUGACAGGUGGUGCAUGGUUGUCGUCAGCUCGUGUCGUGAGAUGUUGGGUUAAGUCCCGCAACGAGCGCAACCCUUAAGCUUAGUUGCCAUCAUUAAGUUGGGCACUCUAAGUUGACUGCCGGUGACAAACCGGAGGAAGGUGGGGAUGACGUCAAAUCAUCAUGCCCCUUAUGAUUUGGGCUACACACGUGCUACAAUGGACAAUACAAAGGGCAGCGAAACCGCGAGGUCAAGCAAAUCCCAUAAAGUUGUUCUCAGUUCGGAUUGUAGUCUGCAACUCGACUACAUGAAGCUGGAAUCGCUAGUAAUCGUAGAUCAGCAUGCUACGGUGAAUACGUUCCCGGGUCU